GACGAAGGGGGCUAGCGUUGUUCGGAAUUACUGGGCGUAAAGCGCGUGUAGGCGGUUGCCCAAGUCGGGUGUGAAAGCCUUGAGCUCAACUCAAGAAAUGCACUCGGUACUGGGUGACUAGAGGACCGGAGAGGGAAGCGGAAUUCCCGGUGUAGUGGUGAAAUGCGUAGAUAUCGGGAGGAACACCAGUGGCGAAGGCGGCUUUCUGGCCUGCUCUUGACGCUGAGGCGCGAAAGCUAGGGUAGCAAACGGG
rnacentral:rRNA from 1 species